rnacentral:rRNA from 1 species
CCUACGGGUGGCAGCAGUGGGGAAUAUUGGACAAUGGGCGAAAGCCUGAUCCAGCCAUGCCGCGUGUGUGAAGAAGGCCUUCGGGUUGUAAAGCACUUUCAGUGGGGAAGAAAGCCUUGGGGCUAAUACCCUCGAGGAAGGACAUCACCCACAGAAGAAGCACCGGCUAACUCCGUGCCAGCAGCCGCGGUAAUACGGAGGGUGCGAGCGUUAAUCGGAAUUACUGGGCGUAAAGCGCGCGUAGGCGGUCUGAUAAGCCGGUUGUGAAAGCCCCGGGCUCAACCUGGGAACGGCAUCUGGAACUGUCAGGCUAGAGUGCAGGAGAGGAAGGUAGAAUUCCCGGUGUAGCGGUGAAAUGCGUAGAUAUCGGGAAGAAUACCAGUGGCGAAGGCGGCCGUCUGGACUGACACUGACGCUGAGGUGCGAAAGCGUGGGUAGCAAACAGGAUUAGAUACCCGUGUAGUC